rnacentral:lncRNA from 1 species
GAUGGUUUAACUGUAAUAGCUUUGUUGUUGGUAUUGAUGCUUAGAUACAGAGAGCAUCGAAUUACUUAAGAUUGAUUAGGGUAUAUGCCUAAAGUUUUGAUCUUUGUGACAAAGAGUUAGUAAUCUUGUCUUUUCAUAGCUUGUGAAUGUUUUGCCAUUGGUCUUUUGCUGCAGAACGAGAAUUAUCUUGAUAAAGUCUCCAAAACAAUCAAUUGGAUUCACAUCUUGUUUCAUUGACUAAUAAGUCUUAUCCUUAUAUUUCAACGUUUAGGUCUUGUGGGAGUAGCAUCGAUGGUUCAAGACCGUGUAAAGAUCUUUCUUGCAGUACUAGUUUGGAUAUCUCUCUUCUUCUGGGCUUCAGCAUUACAAGGAAGAGAUAGAGGAAAUGGUAAAGGGAAGAAGGGUUCACGAUUCAAGUAGUAGUAUUAGAUAGGUUAUUGUGGUGAUGAUGAUGAUGAUGAUGAUGAUUGAUGAUGAAGACUCACUACACAUGUUUGUGUAUAUAUAAUAUUCUAUAAGUAAGAUUCUUUCUUGUAACAUUACAGUUUAUACUUUAUACAUACUAGAAACUAGAUUUUGCUCUUCUUCACAUGAAAAGGAAACAGUUUCCCACAGUGAUUCUUCUGUGAUAUCUCUAAUGUUAGAACUAUAGAUAUUGCUCCACAUUUGUUCUCAGCCUGGUGGUGAAACUAAAGUUAUUUGUAUUUAGAUCAAAAUACUCUUGAAUCAUUGAUUCUUUGAAUUCUGUUUUCAGUGUUGAUGGUAUCUAUUGGGUUUGUGCUUG